GACAGAGGGGGCAAGCGUUGCUCGGAAUUACUGGGCGUAAAGCGCGCGCAGGCGGCCUUUUAAGUCUCGUGGUGAAAUGCCGGGGCUCAACCCCGUGCCCGCCGGAGAUACUGGGAGGCUGGAGACAUGUAGAGGCAAGCGGAAUUCCGGGUGUAGCGGUGGAAUGCGUAGAGAUCCGGAAGAACACCGGAGGCGAAGGCGGCUUGCUGGGCAUUGUCUGACGCUGAGGCGCGAAAGCCAGGGGAGCGAACGGG
rnacentral:rRNA from 1 species